AUCGCUUCUCGGCCUUUUGGCUAAGAUCAAGUGUAGUAUCUGUUCUUAUCAGUUUAAUAUCUGAUACGUCCUCUAUCCGAGGACACUAAAAAAAAAAAAAAAAGAAAUCAUAACAAAUUUGUUUGACCAUAG
rnacentral:snRNA from 1 species